UACGUAGGGGGCGAGCGUUAUCCGGAUUCAUUGGGCGUAAAGGGAACGCAGGCGGUCUUUUAAGUCUGAUGUGAAAGCCUUCGGCUUAACCGGAGUAGUGCAUUGGAAACUGGGAGACUUGAGUGCAGAAGAGGAGAGUGGAACUCCAUGUGUAGCGGUGAAAUGCGUAGAUAUAUGGAAGAACACCAGUGGCGAAAGCGGCUCUCUGGUCUGUAACUGACGCUGAGGUUCGAAAGCGUGGGUAGCAAACAGG
rnacentral:rRNA from 1 species